AGUGGCAGACGGNUGAGUAAUGUAUAGGAAUCUACCUAGUAGUACGGAAUAAUUGUUGGAAACGGCAACUAAUACCGUAUACGCCCUACGGGGGAAAAAUUUAUUGCUAUUAGAUGAGCCUAUAUUAGAUUAGUUAGUUGGUGAGGUAAAGGCUUACCAAGACAAUGAUCUAUAGCUGAUCUGAGAGGAUGAUCAGCCACACUGGAACUGAGAUACGGUCCAGACUCCUACGGGAGGCAGCAGUGGGGAAUAUUGGACAAUGGGCGAAAGCCUGAUCCAGCUAUGCCGCAUGAGUGAAGAAGGCCUUCGGGUUGUAAAGCUCUUUUAGUGAGGAAGAUAAUGACGGUACUCACAGAAGAAGUCCUGGCUAACUCCGUGCCAGCAGCCGCGGUAAUACGGAGAGGGCUAGCGUUAUUCGGAAUUAUUGGGCGUAAAGGGCGCGUAGGCGGAUUAGUAAGUUAAAAGUGAAAUCCCAAGGCUCAACCUUGGAAUUGCUUUU
rnacentral:rRNA from 1 species